UACAAAUAAGUCACGCAGUACACCAGUGCAUGCGCGACAGGUUUUAAACUGUCUUCACAUAUCCUUCCUGUCCUUUCAGAGCCUUAUGAGGAGUAGACUCAGGCUGUCACCUCGACUCGACUGAUGACCUCAAGGAGGAAGGAUGGAUAUGACCCAACGUCACAGGUGAUCCCCACCAGUGAAUGUUCCAGAAGCUUCCAUGGAGCUCUUGGAGACGUGGCUCAUACACAGGACAAAGCUCCUUUGCCGUGGUCAGCUCUGCCUUUAUAUGCAGCCCCUCACUGCCCGCCUAUCUUCACAAUCCAGCGCCCUCUCUAAAUUUCAUGAUUUCAAGAGCAGCUCCAGACACAUCCUCAAAUCCUCUAUCUGUUUUGUGAUGGCCCCUCACUUUCCAGUAAGGAGACGAGCAAAUGACCUAGCUGCAUGCUCUGAAACCAAUCACACAACAAAGAACAAGAAAACAUGCGUUGCAAAUUGUACUCAGCAAGCUCCCUUUUUCUAAAGUGCUUAGAAUCUGCUGAACCUAGGUAUGUUUUCAAAGUUAAAAUUCCAUCUUGCUAAAUGCACUGUAUUCUCUUGGAGUAAGGAUUUAUAAACAACGGUGAUGAUGUUCCUAUCCAGUGGAAGUGAAUUUUUCAACUUCGUGUACAGAAGUUUUUUUUUUUCUUUUGGCUGAAAGGAGUGUUUUUUCCCUUUUAACCUCUCUAAAUAGGUGAAGGUAGGUUGGCUCACAGAAGCUGUUUGGCAAUCCGUUUCUUCACCCUCAUCAACCAAAUCCUGAUUUCAUAUGACAUUGGAAUGCAGCCUACAGCUCCUAAAAAAGGUGUGUGUGGGAGGGGGCUGGGCUGGGAGACAGAUUUGACAGUGUUACAAGGAGACAAGCUGGAAGCAAACAUUUGACACUCCAGCCCAGGAAUGCUGUAAAAAUUUAAUUAGGUGGAUCCAUUAGUCAUGCCCGCAUGGAGGUUUCAUACAGGACUUAGAAAAAUGCAGGCUACUGAGGAACGUUUCAGAUCUUCCUGUAAAUGCCAUUUUCCUCCUUAUUGGGAAAUGUGGUCUCGGUGGGACCAUUGAACCAGGCUUACAAAAUAUGGUGAGGACGAGAUCAACAGCAUGGCUGAAGGGGUUUUUGAAUCCAAAUAAGAGAUGACAUUUUAUCCAGGAGUUCUCCCACUCGACCACUUCUGAGGCAAUUGGGCUGAGAGAUGAUCGUGGUGCCCACUGCCCUUGACCACUUCCCAGCUCGAAGUUUUACAUUCAGAGGUGCCUGAAAAGAUAUUACAUGGUGGACUUUCAUGGGAUGAGCGCGUGUGUCUGUUUUCAAGUUGAAAAUACAUAGGGAGCUUCUCUAGUUCCAAAACAGGGGGUGAGGAGGGGGUUGAGCUGAGAAAUCAAGCUUCCAGUUUGCAGGGCCCGGGAUACGCACAGCUUGAUUUGCAAGCAGGCACAUUCCAUUUACCAGCACUGUUAUUUUGAUUUUUAAGGCUCUGCUUGGUCACUGU
rnacentral:lncRNA from 1 species